rnacentral:rRNA from 1 species
GGUUUCAAACCCAUAAAUAUCGAAUCAUAUGAUGGCACAACAGAUCCUGCGGUAUGGAUCGAGGAUUAUCUCCUUCAUAUCCACAUGGCCCGCGACGAUGAUCUCCACGCCAUCAAAUACCUCCCACUCAAUCUUAAAGGACCAGCUCGGCAUUGGCUUAACAGCUUGCCAGCAGGAUCAAUCAGUUGUUGGGAGGACCUGGAAGCCACAUUCCUCGACAAUUUCCAGGGCACUUAUGUGCGACCACCAGACGCCGAUGACCUAAGCCACGUAAUUCAGCAGCCAGAGGAAUCGGCUAGGCAAUUCUGGACAGGGUUCCUAACAAAGAAAAAUCAAAUAGUCGACUGUCCAGACACA